UACGGAGGGGGCUAGCGUUGUCCGGAUUUAUUGGGCGUAAAGAGCGUGUAGGCGGCCUGGUAGGUCUGCUGUGAAAACUCGAGGCUCAACCUCGAGAUGUCGGCGGAAACCAUCUGGCUAGAGUCCGGAAGAGGAGAGUGGAAUUCCUGGUGUAGCGGUGAAAUGCGCAGAUAUCAGGAAGAACACCCGUGGCGAAGGCGGCUCUCUGGGACGGUACUGACGCUGAGACGCGAAAGCGUGGGGAGCGAACAGG
rnacentral:rRNA from 1 species